rnacentral:rRNA from 1 species
UACGGAGGGGGGCUAGCGUUGUUCGGAAUUACUGGGCGUAAAGCGCACGUAGGCGGCUUUGUAAGUUAGAGGUGAAAGCCCGGGGCUCAACUCCGGAAUUGCCUUUAAGACUGCAUCGCUAGAAUUGUGGAGAGGUAAGUGGAAUUCCGAGUGUAGAGGUGAAAUUCGUAGAUAUUCGGAAGAACACCAGUGGCGAAGGCGACUUACUGGGCACAUAUUGACGCUGAGGUGCGAAAGCGUGGGGAGCAAACAGG